rnacentral:lncRNA from 1 species
AUUAAAGUGAAGGGCUUUUAGUGCCAAGCUGAGAUGCUUGGGUAUAAUUGUACACUCAGUGCUGAAUGAUGUUUCAGGUAAUCUGUGCCCAUUGCAGUUUCCAAGUGUUCUUUCUUCUAAUCCACCUUCCUUCCUUUAAGAUAUGAAUCCUUCCAGCAAUAUUUGCCUUUUCAAAGAGAACUGAGGAAGUCAAGAAUAUAAUUUCUGGAGAGAAAUUUCUGAGGAGUUAAGACAUCAGGAAUGGGGAGCACUAAAUCCAUUUCAUGCACAUGGGGGUACUUCUCAAGUUACCUUACAACAGCAGAGCAAUGAGGAAAGAAUUGAUGAGGAAGGUGGACUUGAUAAAGAAUGUAUAGAGCCUCUGUAGCUCAUUGGCAAGAACUGACUCUAUCAAAAAACAAAUGAUUUUCACUUGAACCCAGGAGGCAGAGGUUGCAGUGAGCCAAGAUCAUGCCAUUGCACUCCAGCCUGGGCAACAAGAGUGAAACUCCGUCUCAAAAAAAUAAAAAAGAAAAGAAAAAAAAAGAAACACACACACAGAAAUAAUCUCCUUGGACAAGUCACUUCUCAAUGUCAUCUGUGAAAUGGGAAUUGCAAUUCUGGUCUAGCUUUCUGAGCAGAUUGCUGAGAUCAAAGGAGAUAGCAUAACUGCAAGAACUUUGUAAGCAGAAAGGCACAAUACAUCUGCCAUCAGCACUCAUUAGUCCUCAGGCUCCCAACAGCACUGAGAGUGAAUGUUUCAGUCCUCUUGAGGCCGCAGAGCUGUCAGAUUGCAGGUUUGAUCAUAUAUACACAUGCAUACAUCCUUCUCUUCAUUUCUGUCUCUUAUUGUCUUCCUCUUUUUCAUAUUCCUCUUGUAAUCAACUGAACACUUUGAUCACUAUUUUGCCUUCUUGUUAAACAGAGCUCUGAAAUUCAUUUAUUUGCAAACUGGUUUUACAAGCCAAAUUGCUCAUGCAUAAUGUUCAAGCAUGCCAAAGAAAGCCUGGGGGUGGCAUUCACCUGGGAAGAAUCAACAGGCAGCAAGGCUGGCAGUUCUUUGAAACCAAGGCGUUUUACUGGGAUAAAUACUCAUUUUGGAUUUAUUCUGUAUUUCAAGAAGAGGACGGAGAAAAACAUAAAAGUUUUAAGAGGACAAAGUGGCUCUCUUCAGCCUCCAGCUACAGCCCUAGUCUGCUGCUGUCCCAAGUAAAGGCACAAUAUUGGGAUAGAUUAAGUGAUUAAAUAAACAAAUAUCUUAACCAACUUCAUCACCACGUCUCAGGUCAUGUUGUCUUCUCUACCAGGAAAUCUUUCCCAACUCAUUACUCAUGCCUUCUCCACUCUGCUGAAAAACUCAUCCUCAAUAGCUAAAUCAGUAAUGAAGUCUCCCUUGCCCUGACUGCUUGAAUAACUUUGGAAGGCUUCCUUAGUGCUCCUACCGUAGCUCAUACAGUAUUGCUUUCUGAUAGUUUCUUGGCCUGUCUAUAUUGACAUUGAUCCACGAGUUUCUUUCACACAGGGUUAGGGUCUGACUCAUCAUAGUACAGGGCCUGCCAGGGUCAGCCCUUCAUAAAUACUUGUUGAGUUGAAUAAUAAAUGAAUGAGUGAAUGACUCAAGCCCUGAAUGCCCCUACAGCAGCUAAGGCUGGCUAUCAGUACAAAGAAAACAAUGGAUCCUACUGGCUUCAGAGACAGUUUAGAGAAAUGGGCUCCUGGCCACACCUCCAAAACUGUCUCAACACACACACACACACAGAGACAGAGAGAGAGAGAGAGAGAAAUACACAAACUCAUUCCUCAGAGCAUCUUUUAAAAUCUGCACAGCUAUAGGUUAGAUGAUAUUAGAAGUCCAGCCUGAGACCAUUCUAGAUUGUCAGAGAAACUAAGAAUCAAGGAAGUUACAUAGUUAGAGGAAAGUCAUGCAGCUGGCAUUAUAAUUAACAUCUAUUUAAGACAAAGAAACACUUAAUACAGAUUUUACACAUUCUGUACAACCAAAAUGUCAGUACCAUAAUAACGAAACAAAUAGGCUAAGUGAGAAAUAAAUAAAUUAUUGGUUUUUACAUUUGAAACACCACCAGAGUCCAAAAUAUCAUACACAAAAACAACAUCACUGCCAUGGGACACAAAGUAAACGUCACCACCUAAAGUUGUGUAACAGAGAGGCCUUGUAUACAUUUAAGCGAAAAGUAAGAAAACUGCUCAUUGAGUCCUCAAUUUGUCUUACAGACAGGAGAUCCGAGAUUUGAACCCUGGAAUUCCGACUGCCCAGUCUAGUGUUAUUUUUACGUGAAUUCAACUUACCAAAGGACAAGUAAUUCCACAAAAAGAAAACACUUUCAUUCUCAAUAACAUAUGCUAGGCUAAUAUCUGAUUUCUGUUAAGAAUAAAUUUAGGUACACAGGUAAAGAAACAGGGUGUGAUGCAAACACCAUAGGACUUUGAACCUGCAGACACAAAUUCUAACACUCUCUCUAAGUAGCUAUGUGAAGUUUGAAUAAGUCUUUUCUUGAUCAUGUAACCUUGAGCAUUAGUUUCCUCUUCUAUAAACUGGAAACCGUCAUACCUUUCAGUUGUGAUAUCAGGUUACAGAUCUACAAACUCUUAGCCAAAUACAUUUUGCUAU